AAGAUUUUUACUUGUUUAUGGGAGUUUUUUUGUGGAAGUUUUAUAAAACCUCCAUAACAUAUUUUAUGUAUGGCAAAAUAUAAAACCCCCAUUGAUUAAAGCUAGUUUAAACUUUUUAAGCCCAAUUUUCUAAACCAAUAACCAAUCUCUAACCUACUCUGAUUAAACCCAAACAAUGCAAAGUUAACUCCAAGAAAAAACUUGUCCAAAAAAAUCGAAAAGGGAGAAGAUUGAGAAUGAACCCUAGAUCUACUAGCCGCCGCGGUACUAAUCUCUUCGCCAUUGUCACCAUCAGGCAUCAAGCUCACCGUAGCGUCUGAGAUCAAAGGGAGAGUAACUGGCAACGCCCGCGACGCCAUCCUUCCCAAGGUUCAGGAGCAGGUUUCCAUCCUCAACUCCACUUUCUCAUGGAAGGAGUCAGAUCAAGCCGCCGCCAAGCGCGCCACUCACGCGCUUGCCGAUCUUGCCAAAAAUGAGGAAGUGGUGAACGCGAUUAUCGAAUGAGGAGCUAUUCCGGCUUUAGUUCAACAAUCAGCACCUCCAAGCUCCUCUCGUCACGGAAGAAGACCUCAUUCAAAAGCUGUUGCCAUUUGAGCAUGAGGUUGAGAAAGUGAGUGCUUUUGCACUUGGACUUCUUGCCGCUGUAGUUGCCGCGUUGAAAGCUUUUGAAUCAAGCCACUGUUUUAGUGAAAGUAGUAAUGGAAUCAGAGUGCUUAAUGCUAAAAACACAAUGCAGAAAGCAAAGGAAAAGAAUCUAAAGGGUUACAGAGAGAAGCAACAAUUCUCCACAGAGUCUUCAAUAACUUCUAUGUGUGUGGUGGAAACUGCAGGUGGAGUUGCGAGUCCCGGUGCUUCUGGAUCACUUUAAUGUGACUUAUAUAAGUGAAUUUGGUGCUCGAGAAUUUUGGUACUUUAGUUACAAUUUCAAUUUCAGAUGAAUAUAUGUCUCAAUUUAUAUGUUAAUGCAAAAGGCUUGCACAUUUUUCUAGGUCCACUAUUUGCAAUUUCUGGAACAAUUUCUGCUUAUGAGAGCUUGACUCUUCGAGGUUAUGAUGUUGUUGAUGUUGUUUUGGAAGAUCACGGCCUUCUAAACGAGGGUCGAAUAAUGUCUUAUAUGCGGAACAAGCUUCCUGUUCUAGUGCUACCCCCUGUUCCAAAAGGUUUGUUUCGAGUGGAAUAUUUGGUUUCAUCCUCAAAACUUUUUUUUUUAUUAAUUGCCAUUUGUCUUUUAUUUUUUGUUAUUACUAUAUUUAUCUAUUUAGUUAUUUUUAAUAAUGCUUCUUAAAUCUAUAAAUUUUUAUUUUGCAAUACUACGUGGAAUAUCUUAGGAGACCGAACUAUCUUGAACUUGUUGCACUUAGUUUUUAUUUUAGAAUUAGAGUCAUGAAUUCGAUACAAUUACUACAGGUGUUAUUAUAUGGUGAUAAGUGAUAACUUGUUACUACAUGAUUCUAGUUUGUUGGUUUUUUUAAAGGCUCAGAGCACAGAAGUUGUAGCUCUGCUAUUUGAUGCCUGUGCUAGUUGGUGGACUCAAGGACCUAAUGCUAUAUUACAGAUUAUGCUUCCAGAAGCUGUUGUAAUAGUUAUGGCACCAAGAGACGGUUCAACGUGAAGACAGUGGCUCGGAUUGUGAAAAGUGAUGCAAGAAAAGUAAUUUGCAAGGAAGCAGAGAGGAUCAAACCUGUGGCUGUAGUUCUGGGAUCAAGAGGCAGAAGCUUAAUUCAGAGCGUGCUACAGGGAAGUGUUGAAGAGUACUGCUUCCACCACUGCAAAGCAGCACCUGUUGUCAUCGUUCCUAGAAAAGAUGCUGGAGAUGCAUCAAUAUUGUAGUGAAGCUUUGUACGUAUGUCAAUUGGCCUUGUUAAUAUAUCUAACAGUCAUGUUUAGUGAAAUGAAGAUUGGUUCUGACUCAUUUUCACCAAGAAUAAAGAUGUUUUCCUUGCAUAUUUUCACAUGUUAACCACUAGCAUGUUAUUAAUUCAAUGGUUUAGUAACUCAUUUUCUCAUUGUGCUGUUUAGACUUUCUUUGAUGUUACAAAGCAUUUGGACAACUUUAUUUUUUGAAUAGGUUUAUUUGAGUUGCUGUUAGAUUCUACUGGUAUAAAUAUACUAUUCAUUUGUAGUUGUAAUUAAUGUGACUGAAAAAUGAUGGUAGUGUACUAUAUUUUGU